rnacentral:lncRNA from 1 species
UGGUGUGCGAAUUCAUUCCAAGAGGAAGUUUGGAAAAUCAUCUAUUCAGAAGUAAGUAUAGUUCGUGUGAAACCAUAACUGCAUAUUUGAUGCAAGAACGGAUCCACAAUAUGAUAUGUAGAUUUUGCUUUUUCUAAACCAUGUAUAAGAAAUUUAUUUUACUAUGAACUUAGUUCAUUAUAAAAAUCCAUAAACUUGAGAUCUUGAAUCCACAUCUAAUUUGAGGACAUCUACUAAUAUCAUCCCUGUAAUGUCAUUGAAUUAACCUUUGGUACAUCUUGAACAGAGGAGUGCUUAUUUCCAACCACUAUCAUAGAAUCUCCGAAUGAAGGUUACUCUCGAGGCAACUAAAGGACUGACAUAUCUCCACAGCCCAGAAGCUAAAAUUAUAUAUCAGGAUUUCAAAUCAUCUAACAUUUUGCUUGCUGCUGUAUGUAAAACUACUUUAAAAUUUAGUCUUCUACAAGUUUUAACAAUAUUUAUGUUGUCCUCUUAUGAUCUGUCCAUACCAUGAAUUGACAGAAUUACAAUGCAAAGUUGAGUCAAUCAACAGUAAAAUGGGUACCUUCUGUUGUGCUGCUCCCGAGUAUAUGACCACUGGUAAUAUACAAUUUCAAUUUACUCCUAAUUGUUCUUGUGCUUUACCUGAGCUGAGCGUCAAUCGGAAGCCAAGUACAAAAGUAGUUAAAAGAUAGAGAUGGUGUCAUUAGGAAUAACUUGGCUGGUCCAUUUCC